UGGGGAAUAUUGGGCAAUGGGCGAAAGCCUGACCCAGCAACGCCGCGUGAGGGAAGAAGGGUUUCGGCUCGUAAACCUCUGUCCUAUGGGACGAAGGAAGUGACGGUACCAUAGGAGGAAGCCCCGGCUAACUACGUGCCAGCAGCCGCGGUAAUACGUAGGGGGCGAGCGUUGUCCGGAAUGAUUGGGCGUAAAGGGCGCGUAGGCGGCCUGAUAAGUCUGGAGUGAAAGUCCUGCUUUCAAGGUGGGAAUUGCUUGGAUACUGUCGGGCUUGAGUGCAGGAGAGGAAAGCGGAAUUACCGGUGUAGCGGUGAAAUGCGUAGAGAUCGGUAGGAACACCAGUGGCGAAGGCGGCUUUCUGGACUGAAACUGACGCUGAGGCGCGAAAGCGUGGGGAGCAAACAGGAUUAGAUACC
rnacentral:rRNA from 1 species